CUCGUAGAUGAACGCUGGCGGCAGGCCUAACACAUGCAAGUCGAGCGGUAGCACAGAGAGCUUGCUCUCGGGUGACGAGCGGCGGACGGGUGAGUAAUGUCUGGGAAACUGCCUGAUGGAGGGGGAUAACUACUGGAAACGGUAGCUAAUACCGCAUAACGUCGCAAGACCAAAGUGGGGGACCUUCGGGCCUCAUGCCAUCAGAUGUGCCCAGAUGGGAUUAGCUAGUAGGUGGGGUAACGGCUCACCUAGGCGACGAUCCCUAGCUGGUCUGAGAGGAUGACCAGCCACACUGGAACUGAGACACGGUCCAGACUCCUACGGGAGGCAGCAGUGGGGAAUAUUGCACAAUGGGCGCAAGCCUGAUGCAGCCAUGCCGCGUGUGUGAAGAAGGCCUUCGGGUUGUAAAGCACUUUCAGCGGGGAGGAAGGCGGUGAGGUUAAUAACCUCAUCGAUUGACGUUACCCGCAGAAGAAGCACCGGCUAACUCCGUGCCAGCAGCCGCGGUAAUACGGAGGGUGCAAGCGUUAAUCGGAAUUACUGGGCGUAAAGCGCACGCAGGCGGUCUGUCAAGUCGGAUGUGAAAUCCCCGGGCUCAACCUGGGAACUGCAUUCGAAACUGGCAGGCUAGAGUCUUGUAGAGGGGGGUAGAAUUCCAGGUGUAGCGGUGAAAUGCGUAGAGAUCUGGAGGAAUACCGGUGGCGAAGGCGGCCCCCUGGACAAAGACUGACGCUCAGGUGCGAAAGCGUGGGGAGCAAACAGGAUUAGAUACCCUGGUAGUCCACGCCGUAAACGAUGUCGAUUUGGAGGUUGUGCCCUUGAGGCGUGGCUUCCGGAGCUAACGCGUUAAAUCGACCGCCUGGGGAGUACGGCCGCAAGGUUAAAACUCAAAUGAAUUGACGGGGGCCCGCACAAGCGGUGGAGCAUGUGGUUUAAUUCGAUGCAACGCGAAGAACCUUACCUGGUCUUGACAUCCACAGAACUUAGCAGAGAUGCUUUGGUGCCUUCGGGAACUGUGAGACAGGUGCUGCAUGGCUGUCGUCAGCUCGUGUUGUGAAAUGUUGGGUUAAGUCCCGCAACGAGCGCAACCCUUAUCCUUUGUUGCCAGCGGUUCGGCCGGGAACUCAAAGGAGACUGCCAGUGAUAAACUGGAGGAAGGUGGGGAUGACGUCAAGUCAUCAUGGCCCUUACGACCAGGGCUACACACGUGCUACAAUGGCAUAUACAAAGAGAAGCGACCUCGCGAGAGCAAGCGGACCUCAUAAAGUAUGUCGUAGUCCGGAUUGGAGUCUGCAACUCGACUCCAUGAAGUCGGAAUCGCUAGUAAUCGUAGAUCAGAAUGCUACGGUGAAUACGUUCCCGGGCCUUGUACACACCGCCCGUCACACCAUGGGAGUGGGUUGCAAAAGAAGUAGGUAGCUUAACCUUCGGGAGGGCGCUUACCACUUUGUGAUUCAUGACUGGGGUGAGUCACA
rnacentral:rRNA from 1 species